rnacentral:rRNA from 1 species
GAUGAACGCUGGCGGCGUGCCUAAUACAUGCAAGUCGAGCGAACAGACGAGGAGCUUGCUCCUCUGACGUUAGCGGCGGACGGGUGAGUAACACGUGGAUAACCUACCUAUAAGACUGGGAUAACUUCGGGAAACCGGAGCUAAUACCGGAUAACAUGUUGAACCGCAUGGUUCAACAGUGAAAGACGGUCUUGCUGUCACUUAUAGAUGGAUCCGCGCCGCAUUAGCUAGUUGGUAAGGUAACGGCUUACCAAGGCAACGAUGCGUAGCCGACCUGAGAGGGUGAUCGGCCACACUGGAACUGAGACACGGUCCAGACUCCUACGGGAGGCAGCAGUAGGGAAUCUUCCGCAAUGGGCGAAAGCCUGACGGAGCAACGCCGCGUGAGUGAAGAAGGUCUUCGGAUCGUAAAACUCUGUUAUUAGGGAAGAACAAAUGUGUAAGUAACUAUGCACGUCUUGACGGUACCUAACCAGAAAGCCACGGCUAACUACGUG